CGGCGGUGAUGAUUCCCGAGAAUAGAGAGGAGGCACAGAAGACGACUCCUAUGGCUCCUAAGAAUAAGAAUUGAUAGAUGAUCGCGUUCCACACGAGCACCACAUAGACCAAUGAUUGUGAUGGAAACCUAACCCGUGUGGAUGGGUCCAGGUUGAGAGAGAGAACCUGGAAGUCCUUGUUGAUCAGCAUGCCCACUGUGCAGAAAGCGGUGGCGAAGAAGCACAUCACCAACUGAAUCUCCAAGACCAGCGAGUAAGUGACCGCCUUCUUGGCUUUCUUGUACGUCAGCUCCACCAGCGGCAGUAUGAACCCGUACAGCGCCGCUGCCCCAAGCGUCAUGAAGAACCCAGCGUAGUACGCCCCGUCCGACUCCCCCGCCGGCCGUUCGCUGCUCGUUUGCAUCGCCAGCACCCCCGCCGCGAUAGUCAGCAGGAAUAUCGAGUUGAUCGAGUACCAUGUGAACCGCUGCUUCACCAGCAGGAACGCGAAGCCGGCUGUGAAGGCCAGCUGCGUCCCGACGAGCAGGGACGAUGUUGAGACGGGGAGUUGAGCCACGCCGUAGGCGUAGAGGUAGUUGUCGAGGCCCAUGAGGACCCCGAUGACAGCCGAGGCGGCGAAGAGGAAGGGGUCCAUGAGGACGAGGCGGGCGGAGGGGCCCUUGGUGGAGCGGCGGCGGAAGUAGGCUACCGCGAGUGGGAAAACGAUGAUCGGCCAGCCGCCCAUUUCGAGCCAGCUGGAGAGCCACACGCGGGCGCCGCCGCGGACGAAGUAGAGGCGCAAGAGGAGUGGGCCGCCGCACGUGCCGACGGAGAGCAUGGCGCAGUUGAGUGCGAGGAGGAGGCGCUUUGGGGUCUUGUCCUGGGGCGCUUCCAUGGUUUCCCCCAUGAUCAAGCUCUCGCUCUCGCUCUCUCUCUCUAUCUCUCCCAUCCCUUGGGAUUGUUUCCAGACAAUCCUUCCCAAAGAUUUAUGAAUCGUCUCUAGUCAAUAUUUAAUGAAGUUUGGUGAACAAAUCGUCCAAAUUACUUUUAACUAUUUUCAUUUCAUCCGAAA